AUAAAAUGUCCCAAGGUUAAUGCUGUAGAUAUUGUUAUAAGGGGAUAACAACUUGUCAGGUGGUGCAUUGGAGACUGAUGUGAUCCUGUCCUGUCUUUUCACAAUACUAUUGCAGUACACAGCCAAGACAACGCAGGAGUGGCUUCGGGACAAGUGUCUGAAUGUUCUUGAGACGCCCAGCCAGAGCCCGGACCUGAACCCGAUCGAACAUCUCUGGAGAGACCUGAAAAUAGCUGCGCAGCGAUGCUCCCCAUUUCAAGCUGACAGAGCUUGACAGGAUCUGCAGAGAAGAAUGGGAGAAACUCCCCAAAUAUAGGUGUGCUAAGCUUGUAGCGUCAUACCCAAGAAGACUCGAGGUUGAAGUCUCUGCCAAAGGUGCUUCAACAAAGUACUGGGUAAAG
rnacentral:lncRNA from 1 species